CGUGCAGGCGGUCUGGUAAGUUGGAUGUGAAAGCUCCUGGCUUAACUGGGAGAGGUCGUUCAAUACUGCUGGACUAGAGGAUGGCAGAGGGGAGUGGAAUUCCGAGUGUAGCGGUAAAAUGCAUAGAUAUUCGGAAGAACACCAGUGGCGAAGGCGGCUCUCUGGGCCAUAUCUGACGCUCAGACGCGAAAGCUAGGGUAGCAAACGGGAUUAGAGACCCCGGUAGUCCUAGCCGUAAACGAUGUGAACUUGGCGUUGGUGGGUUCAAAUCCAUCAGUGCCGUAGCAAACGCGAUAAGUUCACCACCUGGGGACUACGGCCGCAAGGUUAAA
rnacentral:rRNA from 1 species